CCCCUGUACUCUGGGAUGGGCGCUGGAGGCGGCGUCUAAUACUGGAUAUGUGACGUGACCGCCUGGUCUGCGUCUGGAAAGAAUUUCGGUUGGGGAUGGGCUCGCGGCCUAUCAGCUUGUUGGUGAGGGAAUGGGUCACGCAAGGCGUCGACGGGUAGCCGGCCUGAGAGGGUGACCGGCCACACUGGGACUGAGACACGGCCCACACUCCUACGGGAGGCAGCAGUGGGGAAUAUUGCACAAUGGGCGCAAGCCUGAUGCAGCAACGCCGCGUGAGGGACGACGGCCUUCGGGUUGUAAACCUCUUUUAGCAGGGAAGAAGCGAAAGUGACGGUACCUGCAGAAAAAGCGCCGGCUAACUACGUGCCAGCAGCCGCGGUAAUACGUAGGGCGCAAGCGUUAUCCGGAAUUAUUGGGCGUAAAGAGCUCGUAGGCGGUUUGUCGCGUCUGCUGUGAAAUCCGGAGGCUCAACCUCCGGCCUGCAGUGGGUACGGGCAGACUAGAGUGCGGUAGGGGAGAUUGGAAUUCCUGGUGUAGCGGUGGAAUGCGCAGAUAUCAGGAGGAACACCGAUGGCGAAGGCAGAUCUCUGGGCCGUAACUGACGCUGAGGAGCGAAAGGGUGGGGAGCAAACAGGCUUAGAUACCCUGGGUAGUCCACCCCGUAACGUUGGGAACUAGUUGUGGGUCCAUUCCACGGAUUCCGUGACGCAGCUACGCA
rnacentral:rRNA from 1 species